GAUGCAAUGUCUCUACCAUCAUGCUUGAGAUGGACCGAAUUCUGAGGCCUGGUGGACGCGUGUACAUUCGCGAUUCCCUCGCUGUUAUGGAUGAGCUUCAAGAGAUCGGAACAGCUGUGGGCUGGCACGUAGCAAUGAGGGACACCUCCGAAGGGCCUCACGCCAGUUAUAGGAUCUUGACGUGUGACAAGCGCCUCAUACGCUCCUGAGGAAGCAAGGUAUCGUAUCGUAGGUAGUGACUUGUACAUUCUGGGACCGCUAUCCACGGCCGCAGCAGCUAACGGGUUAUCAUUUGCAAAGUUUAGGAGCAUCAAGGAAUGAAUGGUACAAGAAAGAGGUUGCUUUGUUUCUCAGAAUUCAGUAACAUUGCAAUUUGCAUGGCUCUACUCCGUUGUAACAUAGGUCAAAAUUAAAAGCCUAAAAACCAUAUAUGGUUUCUUUCUUUUUUUCUUUUUGAUAUUUCAUUUUUUGCUGUUAUUUGGUUCUCGUAUUCCCUUAAUUAUUGUCACUUCAAAUAGUGUUUCAAAGUAAUUAUGGACGCAUUAAAUAUUAAAUUUUUGUUGAUCUGUAUAUCUAUUGUAAGAAGUUUCAUUUAAUAGGUGUACUUUGUAUCUAGAUUUCUGUUUUGAGCUAUUUUUUAUGUCUUUUUUGUAAAAGAUAAUUUGCCUAAUCUAUUGCUACGGAUUGUGAAAUAUACUAAUCCAACUAAUCUACAGAGCAUUUUCACCCUAAGCGACUCCUAGAUUAAUUCCUAUUUCCUAAUAUAUUGGUUUAUCAAUUAUAAUUCUCUUAUUUUGUAGCAAAGGCUUAUUUUGAAGACUAAGUUUCCCCCCAAAAAGGAAUAUUUCAUAUUUGUAAUAUAAAUCUCUAGGUCCAAGAAAUAAUCACAGUAUAAAAUUUUAGAAAUGUCGCAUGAAUAAUACUUUUAUAUUUAUUUAUUUUUGAAAAAAACAACUCAAAAUCGAGCUGAAACUAAAAACUCUGAACUUAUAGCAUUUUUCAUAAAAUAUUUCGUUAUACAAAAUAUGCUGACAGAAAGAUAACUUAUCUCGUUGGAUGGAAUAUUUUGGGUCGAAAGUUCGGGAGUUUUGUCAUCUUUUUGUUACCGAUUUCUGUGUAGCGAGACAUUUUAUGCAAUAAAGUUCAGAGUUUUUUUCAGGAGAAAAUGAAAAUUCGAGACAUUUUAUAAAUACGUUGAAAGUUCCUGACAUAAAAUACCAUUAACCCUAGCUACUCUCUUUCUAUUUUGAUGUUUUUUUCAUUAAUUUUAAUAAAAAAAAUUAAUGAGGCUCGAUUCUUGAAUUACAGUAUAUUUAAAAAAGAAAUCGUUCUUUUUAUUAUAGCCUUACAUCUCUCUUGUAUAUAAUAAUUUUCAACUCGUGCUCCCCCAAAAAAAAUCGAAUUAGGAAAUGUUUGAAAAUUAUCGUGAAUUCCUGUGAGGCGUCGCGAUCCGUGACAGCUAGGGGUAAUCUCGUAACGACGACGUGGCGUGAUGAGAGUGGUGGACCACAGAGAUUAAGAUGAGGGCGCACCCACCUAAUGACCUAUGUUGCUACAGUUUUUGAUGAUCAUGCGUUGUCGCAGUCAGGUAAAGUUAGAAAACCAGAUUCCAUAUCAAUUUGGGCCCCACACCAUAUUUAUCCCGUGUUAAUAGGCAAAAAUGCCCAUUUUCUUAUAAACACUUGUAAAAAAAAACCGAACCGAACCGAAUUAACCGAACAAACCGAACCGAAUUAACCAAAAUUUUUAUAAUUAAAACCGAACCGAACCAAAAAACCGAAUUAAUCCGAAGAAAACCGAAAUUUUCGAAAAAAAACCGAAAAAACCGAAAUUUUCGAAAAAAAAUCGAAAAUUCCAAAAAAAAAACUAUAAAAUUAAAAAAAUAUUAGAAGUUAGAUAUUAUAAAAUUAUAAUUAAAAUAUUAUAUAUAUAUAUAUUUAUAUAUAUAUUAUAAAUAUAAUUCGGUUUUCGGUUUGUUCGGUUUAAAAAUCCGACCGAACCGAACCGAAAAGUCGAAAUUUUAUGAAAAAAAAACCGAACCGAACCGAAAAACCGAACCAUAUUUUAAAAUUCCGGUUUGGAUCGGUUCGGUUAUUCGGUUUCGGAUUUUUUGCUCACCCCUACCUCNCACUUUCUUGCUUCAAUUUUCAUACUAAUGUUCUUCUAGCCGUUUGUAACGGGUUCUUUCUAGAUUUAGAAUCGUAGGAUUUCGUUGAGAAUGACACUUCAUUUUCUAUGCCACUACUCUAGCAUCAACAUACACCCAUCCAUCCUUAUUUGACAUGUCACAUGAGUUUUUGUGAUUCUUUUGAGCAGAUGCAAUGUCUCUACCAUCAUGCUUGAGAUGGACCGAAUUCUGAGGCCUGGUGGACGCGUGUACAUUCGCGAUUCCCUCGCUGUUAUGGAUGAGCUUCAAGAGAUCGGAACAGCUGUGGGCUGGCACGUAGCAAUGAGGGACACCUCCGAAGGGCCUCACGCCAGUUAUAGGAUCUUGACGUGUGAUAAGCGCCUCAUACGCUCCUGAGGAAGCAAGGUAUCGUAUCGUAGGUAGUGACUUGUACAUUCUGGGACCGCGAUCCACGGCCGCAGCAGCUAACGGGUUAUCAUUUGCAAAGAAUAGUUACGUUUAGGAGCAUCAAGGAAUGAAUGGUACAAGAAAGAGGUUGUUCUACUCCGUUGUAACAUAGGUCAAAAUUAAAAGCCUAAAAACCAUAUAUGGUUUCUUUCUUUUUUUCUUUUUGAUAUUUCAUUUUUUGCUGUUAUUUGGUUCUUGUAUUCCCUUAAUUAUUGUCACUUCAAAUAGUGUUUCAAAGUAAUUAUGGACGCAUUAAAUAUUAAAUUUUUGUUGAUAUGUAUAUCUAUUGUGAGAAGUUUCAUUUAAUAG
rnacentral:lncRNA from 1 species